GGAGGGGGAGGAGGGGAGGAACCUGAUCUCUCCGGUAGCGAAGGGCUGGAGGCAAACACCGAGCUCCCCCAGAGCCGCCCUGGAGCAGGGAGGGCUCCGCUACCCCGAGGGGCCCUCCCCGCGGGCAGAUGAGUUCAGCAUCCAGACUCUCUGAGCUGUGUUUGGGGUCACCCCAGCACUCGAUCCUCCUGACUUUCCACCAACGACUGGAUUCAUAACCCACUCCAUACUUGAGAUCAUGGGGAUUGGAACAAGGUAUGUCCAACGUGCUGAGGGCGCAGAGUUGAAUCAGAGGAUGCGCCGUUAGUGGGGGAGAUGGACAGGUAAGCAAAUUCUCGUGCUACACUGUGACCAGUGCUACAGCAGGGUGUGUGUGUGUGCACGCACGUGUGUGUAUUACGUGUGGAUGUGGAUGUUUUAAGUAUUAUAGAAGCAUAGAGCAGAAGGGAACCAAUUCUACUUGGUUGAAAGAGUUGUCUAAUACUUGAUUAUGUUUUUAAAAUGACUGCCACAUUCCAUUGUAUGAGUUAAUUCGGUCUUCAUAAAGACCAUGUGAAGCUGUGAUCCUUUUUUGUGCAGAAGAGGAAAUGGUCUCCUAGAGGUUAGAUGAGUUCCCCAAGGUCAUGCAGCUAGUAAUAAUAAUUGCUAUCAUUUAUUGAGUGCUUCGGAUACCUGAGGCUCUCCUCUAAGUCUUAUUAAGACAUUUAAUCUUCACAACAAUUUUAUGAGGUCGUUACUGAUAUCAUCAUCUUUUUUCAAAUGAGAAAACUGAGGCACAAGAUUUAAAUAACUUGCCCAGAGUCACACAGCGAGAGUGGCUUUAGCAGGCACACGCCUACCCAUGGCACUAAACUGCCUGUAACUUGUGCCCUGAAGAGGUGGAACUCGCACUUGGGUUCUGACUCCAAGUUCAGCUUCCUUUCAAGUGACCUUGCUCUUUAGCAAUAUUGCAUCCAAAUGAAAAGCAAUGCUGUGUGCGUGGAUUCUAGGAGAGGUUGCGUAGGUUGGGCACCCACGGAAGUGCUUGGGGGGGCACGGUGGAGUCUAGAUCAUGGGGUAGUUGUGUAUGCAGGUUAGUGGGGGCAGCCAGACGUGGCCAGUUCUUCUCUAGAUCAGCAGUCUGGGCUCUGGGGACUGUGAUUUGUUACUCAUGGGAACAAGCCACCAAUACUUACCCUGCAGCUGUGUAAAACCUAGUUUACAUUUUUCUAAAAGAAGACAAGAUGUAAACCAUCGAGAAGAAAACAAGUUAAA